UAGGGAAUCUUCCACAAUGGACGCAAGUCUGAUGGAGCAACGCCGCGUGAGUGAAGAAGGUCUUCGGAUCGUAAAGCUCUGUUGUUGGUGAAGAAGGAUAGAGGCAGUAACUGGUCUUUAUUUGACGGUAAUCAACCAGAAAGUCACGGCUAACUACGUGCCAGCAGCCGCGGUAAUACGUAGGUGGCAAGCGUUGUCCGGAUUUAUUGGGCGUAAAGCGAGCGCAGGCGGAAUGAUAAGUCUGAUGUGAAAGCCACGGCUCAACCGUGGAACUGCAUCGGAAACUGUCAUUCUUGAGUGCAGAAGAGGAGAGUGGAACUCCAUGUGUAGCGGUGGAAUGCGUAGAUAUAUGGAAGAACACCAGUGGCGAAGGCGGCUCUCUGGUCUGCAACUGACGCUGAGGCUCGAAAGCAUGGGUAGCGAACAGGAUUAGAUACCCUGAUAGUCCAUGCCGUAAACGAUGAGCGCUAGGUGUUGGGGACUUUCCGGUCCUCAGUGCCGCAGCAAACGCAUUAAGCGCUCCGCCUGGGGAGUACGACCGCAAGGUUGAAAC
rnacentral:rRNA from 1 species